GAAGCGGCGGCGGGGGAAGAGGUCGAGGAGGAAGAAGCUGCGCUCGGAGCGGCGGUGGCAGCGGCCCCUUCCCGGGCUGCGGCGGGGACGGAGCCCGCGGGUGUCCGACCGCGGUGUCCCCCGUGUCCCCACGUGCAGGCUCCUCCGUGUUGCUCUCUGAAAGCAUUUCAAGCUCGACACACAGAAGCUGUUUCUCAGUGAGCAGCUGUGGGGCAUUUGGCUGAUGGUUUUGACAGCAGAGAUGAAUUGAGGACGUGGCAUCUGCAGUCCUGACCUGGAAUUUGAACCCUUUAGUGCCUCUCCCUCCUCCCAGAUGAAGAGGAGGCAGAAGAUCUCGGAAUCUUCUGAUUGCCAUCGAUCUGAUUUUGCUGAGCACUGGCCUCGUAUCACGUAUGUGUGUUCCUUGAGAGAUGAUUUCAAUCUGAAAAAAAACCCUGGAAGAGGGAAUUGGAUCAUAUUUUUAUCUUCUUCCCCACAUCUGUGAAGACUAGACAUUUCUUUAACAGAGGGGAAAAUAAAGUAAAUUGAGAUUUCCAUGUGGUAACGUGGCUGAAAGAAGACAUGAAUACUUGGAAAUUCAUGCUCAUUAGUACCGGCACAGAUGUGACUCUGUAGAGCUGAAGCUAACCAGGACCAGGGUAUAGAGAUGAGAACUGCACAUAAUUGAGGCCCUGAUUAAUUAAAAGCAAUUUCUUGGCACAGACAAUGAUGGAGCAUCCUUGGGUGGAUCUGCACAUGUCCCAGUGGAUGUGUGCUCCGGGCCCUGCUGCCUGUGCUGGGGUGAGCCUUUGUGUGGGCAGGCAAGGGGUAGAAAAGUGGCUUUGCCAAGGAAGCCGAGCCAAGAGGAGCAGUGAGCCACCUCUCCACUGCAGCUUCAGGUGUGCUGCUGCACCCAGCACUCAUGUGCCCUGUGCUUCUCCAGGGGCUCCACGCUUGGAACAGCUGCUGGAGGAACUGUGGCAUCAGGAAGGAAAUCCUGUGCACACAGGGGAAGCUCCUUUUCAUGCAGGAUCAUAAACAAAACCGUGAAAGAGUAGUGAUGGAUCCAGCAGCCCUGGGGAGGCCCCACAUUGCUGGAACCACCAGCUUCAUGGAACAUUUUCCUGGAGCCCAAUAGUGGCUUUCUAGACUUAAAAACUGAUCACAUUUCCUUUCUUCCCUCCCUUCCAAAGGCAUUUUUUGUCAUCUGCGUCCAAAACUUCCAGCAGAAACUCCAUGAUUGGAGCAAUUUGGUCCAAUACCAUGGGAAGAGACUGCUCCACACACUUUAGGAAGAGCAAAAAGGAGAAAGAAAAGAAGGUUAAGCCCUCCAUGCUGUGCCUGAUCACUUGUCAAAGCCAGCUGCCUCCUGUGCUGACUUGAGGACGUGACAGAUGUCUGUAGCCUUUACAGGUGCAGGGCCUGCAUUUCAUCAGUCUUUUUUCCAUGGAUGACCUGGAGUGUGGAUUAUUAGCAGCUCAGAUUUCUUUGGCCAAGGUGCUUUGUUGUGUACACAUCCGGGUUGAAGCUAAGCAAUAUUUUUGAUCCAUGUAGGCUUCUGACUCGGUCCUGCAUAUUUGGUGUUUACAAAAUGAUCGGAGUUUGAACUCUCCCUGUUCUGUUUCUUAAAUGUCAGCAGAAACUUUUUUUCUUUUUUUUUUUAAAUAAAACAAUGCAGCCUUCCCCUGCAAUGUUUGUAACCAAGAAACUGUGGCAUCACAAGAGCAUGAGGAAAUACUGGCUGAUUAAAACCAGGGUAAGAAAUGACAGCGAAAGUGUUUGUCUUUUUUUUUUUUUUCCCUCAUUUCAGAAUUCACAAUGAAGUGGCUGGUAAAAUGGGACCAGUUGGUUCAGCCCCGCUUGGGCUGAAUAUGAUGUUUAAUGUGCUGAAACUACUUCCACUGGCAAACUUUAGUGUGAUAAUUUAAUUUCUCAUGUAAAGCACAUCUCACAGCAUGGCUUUUUUCCCUACCUCCCUCUGUUUUGCCAAAGUAAAAUAAGUUUGGACUAUUGUUGGCUUUCUUUGCAUUGUUUUUUUGUCUUUUUCCUCUCAUUAAUAUACAAGAGGUAUUAAAUAGUAAUGAUGCCAGUAUUGACCUCUGCUGUGCCUUGCUGUUUGCUCAUUUUUGCUUCAAGGAGCAGAUGUUCUCUGUCUUUGUUUUCUGUUGCCAAAUGGGGACUUUGCCCCUUUAACCUUUGAUAAGGUGCUUUAAUAAUCUCUGAUGUGAGAUUUUAUCAAAAGCCAAGUAAAUCAUACCUGCCUGGCAGCUUCUUUUAAACAUUCCCUUCGUGGUUUACAGCAGUUCAAGAAAGCGCAGU